AGGGCUGUAGCCCCAUGGUAGGGCAUCUGCCUUGCAUGCAGAAGAUCCUAGGUUCAAUCCCUGGCCGCUGUG